UGUAUUCAGAUCAAGAAACAAAGGCAGGUGAGAUUUUGUAGAGCCGUUCCCUAUUUAAAAGUUCAAUUGGUGUGAGUCACUGGCACAGUCACAAUGAGCCUUUGUACUUCCCGAAUGGCUUUUGUUCAAAGAUCUCGCAAGGCAAAGAGCUGCAAAGAAUGCCUGUUCUCAUUGUGGAUGGAGGACAACUAAAUCCGAAAAAACGGAGGCAGAAUAGAGGUCUCUCCAGGAAGAGAAUAGAAUGAUGCUGAGUCAUCCUGCAAUGUUCCUUCUCCAUCUCAAGGAGAGAUGUUUCUUAUUCACGGGUGAGUUUAUAUGUUUUCAGAGCAAGGGAACCAGGCACCAAUAAAAAUGGAUAGCCCCGAUGAUCCAGCCUCUCAGAAUGCUUCUGUUUCAGUAUCCUCCGAGUUCUAUAUUAAGGACAACUUAGAGACUGGGUGCUAAGAUGGCUCAGACUCACAGAAUACUUCAGCCAGGUCUUCAGGGCCUCCUAAAGAUGCUGAUGCCUGCAGAGAGCAGUGAAUAGUCUAGUGGACAUGAGACCCACAUCCCGAAGAGGUGGUAUAUAUGGUUUUUGGUUAUUCAGUGGGUUAUGGACAUUUGUCAUUAUUUAAGAGGGGUUGGUUACUAGUUUCUUAUUGGUAAUGAUCAGGAA